rnacentral:rRNA from 1 species
UACAGAGGGGGCAAGCGUUAUUCGGAAUUAUUGGGCGUAAAGGGCGCGUAGGCGGCUUUGCAAGUGACGGGUGAAAGCCCUCGGCUUAACCGAGGAACUGCCUGUCAGACUGUAAGGCUUGAGACCGGGAGAGGUGAGUGGAAUUCCCAGUGUAGCGGUGAAAUGCGUAGAUAUUGGGAGGAACACCAGUGGCGAAGGCGGCUCACUGGACCGGUACUGACGCUGAGGCGCGAAAGCGUGGGGAGCAAACAGG